GUAGGUGGCAAGCGUUGUCCGGAAUUAUUGGGCGUAAAGCGCGCGCAGGUGGUUCUUUAAGUCUGAUGUGAAAGCCCCCGGCUCAACCGGGGAGGGUCAUUGGAAACUGGGGAACUUGAGUGCAGGAGAGGAAAGUGGAAUUCCACGUGUAGCGGUGAAAUGCGUAGAUAUGUGGAGGAACACCAGUGGCGAAGGCGACUUUCUGGCCUGUAACUGACACUGAGGCGCGAAAGCGUGGGGAGCAAACAGGGAUUAGAUACCCUGGUAGUCCACGCCGUAAACGAUGAGUGCUAAGUGUUGGGGGGGGUUUCCCGCCCCUCAGUGCUGCAGCUAACGCAUUGAGCACUCCGCCUGGGAGUACGGCCGCAAGACUG
rnacentral:rRNA from 1 species